rnacentral:rRNA from 1 species
UACGUAGGGCGCAAGCGUUGUCCGGAAUUAUUGGGCGUAAAGAGCUCGUAGGCGGCCAGUUGCGUCCGCUGUGAAAUCCCAGGGCUUAACCCUGGGCGUGCAGUGGAUACGGGCUGGCGUGGAGGCAGGGCAGGGAGAACGGGAAUUCCCGGUGUAGCGGUGAAAUGACGCAGAUAUCGGGAGGAACACCGGUGGCGAAGGCGGGUUGCUGGGCCGACACUGACGCUGAUGCGCGAAAGCUAGGGGAGCGAACGGG